ensembl:lncRNA
UAAUCACUAAAUGGGCUUCAUCUGUUCAGGGAAGUACACAGAUAAGCAAUUGCUGAUGUUAACAGUAACUGUUUUUCUCAGUUGUACUAUGCCUGGAAAUGCAGCAACUCAUCUUUUUUUGUCUUCAUCUCAGAUUUUUCACCUGGGUUCUGACAAAUCAAGGGGCAUAGGUAGGAUCUGGAUUUGCUCUGUUGCUUAUAAUUUUUAUGAUGCUAGGGAAGCCUUGCUAUAUGAACAGACUUUAUUAUUCAAAACUACUGCUUUUUAUUUGUGUUCAUGCUGGAGACCGUCUGCAGAACAUCUUGAAGAAUGGCAUUCAUUUUAAGGGAGAACUGAUAGCUCCGUACGGUGUCCCUUAGUGCUGGAACAUGUCUAAACUGGAACGAGUAGAAAGAGGAUGGGACUCCGUCUCUGCUCUGACUUGGUGAAGAGAGUGCCACCUGCUGAGCAGAUGAGCCAGUUGUGCAAACACAAGAAAAGAUUGGGUGUGGUGAUGAGACUACUGACCUGGGACUCAUCGGGCAAACCCAGCUAUGCAUCAGAUACGCUUCGUAGUCAUGGAACAAAAUCCUAGCACUACCAAAUCCCUGGUGAGAAGAAAGAGAGCCACAGCCCUAAGGCAUUCUGAUUGCCAUGAUGACAAUUUAAGAUGCCAAAGAUGUUCAUAUAUAUAUGAAACUGGCACUGAAAACUGACUGUCCCUAUUGUUCAGUUUCAUUUCAUGGCUUAGAAAAUUCCAAGUUGAGCUAUUGUUGUCGAACCUUUUUUUGUAAAGCCCUAGAUAUUAUCCUGCAUGUGACAUG